AAGACUAUAUUUUCAGAGGCCAUUUCUACAGUUCGUUACUAGAGAAGUUUCUCUGAACGUGUAGAGCCCUGGAAACCGCAAGGAGGAGACUUAACGUUCUCUCCUGAGCCUAAGGCCAGCUGUCGGUUUCGCUUCAUUGCAACCGCCACUUGCCAUUGAUGAUUGCUCUCUUCCUCUGGGAGGUUAUAUACGAGACCGCU
rnacentral:snoRNA from 1 species